UAUCUCACGAGGAUGAAAUUAUCUUCAGGAUAUUUUGCCUUUCUUUUGCAAUGCAAACUCUUACACCUCAACUCAGUGGUCCCGAAAUCAGACAUAAUGAAGGAGACAAAAUGUAUCCUAGUUCAUCCUAUGAAGGUCCACACAUUGAAAUGAGAGGAUCACCUCCAUAUGCAGAGACUAGAAACCCAUGCCCUUAUUCAGAGGAUGGAAGCCCGUGGCUAGAAUCGACUAACUGGGAAGUGGGUGUCCCAUCUGGAUCACCACAUCAGACUGAAGAGCAAGAAGAGGAUGAGAAAGUGUGCUUGUGCUCUUGUUCCUGGAAAUGGUCCAUUUAAAUUCCAAUAUUUCUUUCCUUCCUUGUUCAAAUAUCAGUUCCACUUGCAGUUAUUUUUUUCUUUUAUCUUGUUUUCCCUGCCCCAAAAGAACUGUCCUAAAAUGAUAGAAAUUUGUCAUUCUCUUUAAUGAGUCUGGCCAAAGUGGAACUUCUGAGAAUGGUAAGAAAAUGAUUUGAAAUUGCUAGUUGGGCCUCCUCCCCGCCUAUGAAGACAUAUGUUUAUUUAAAAGCCAAAGAACUUUAAGCCUUGAUUCCCUAAGGAGUUAAGAAAGAGACAGCCCAGAAGAAAGCCCUUCUCCUCUCUGACGAGAAUAAGAAGCGUAGAAUGGAUAAUGAUAUUAACUUCUGCAAAUUGAUUUAUAUCUUUACAAUUUUUUUUGGAAUGCAUGCACCUUUCAUGGCUGUUCUUGAAUGAAGAUGUCAGCAUCUGUUAAUUGUUGGCCUAGAAAGUUGUGAUUGGAUUUAACCCAGUAGGGAAGGUCUGUUAUCUACCAAAAGAAUGUAAUUAAACAUCGAAAAUACUUUUGGGUUUUAGUCUUUGAGAAGAAUGUUGCCUUUUCCAAAACUACCUACGGCCCACCCCAUCCCCAUCCUGUGCCUAUAAAGACUCCAGACUCAGUCAACAAAAGGGGAGAUUGUUGGACUUCAUGGAGAAAAAUGGAAUUUGGGGAAUAGAUGGCCAAACUUCGGGGAAGAAACAGCCGAACUAUGGAAGAGAUUACCUGACUUCAGGGGAAGAUGACCUGCCCAUCCUAUCCCCUCUCCAACUCCCCUCUCUGCUAAGAGCCAUGUUCAUUGCUUAAUAAAAACUAUUUGUUUGCCUAUU